rnacentral:tRNA from 1 species
GGGGUUGUGGCUCAGCGGUAGAAUGCUCACCUAGCAUGUGAGAGGCCCUGGAUUCAAUCCUCAGCACCACA